rnacentral:rRNA from 1 species
GUGCUUGGGGUAGUAAACAGAUAUGGGCUCGAAACUUAAAGAAUUUGGCGGUACCUAAGUCUGGUUAGAGGAACCUGUGCUGUAAACGAUAAACCACGAAUAUCUUACUUUACGUUGAAAUUUCAGUACGUAUACCGCCAUUAUUAGAUAAUCUUUGAAGGGGUUUGUCGGAAUAAAUUGAGAAUUUUGGAUAUUAGGUCAAGGUGCGGCUAAUAGUAAAGUUGACAUGGGUUACAUUGAGAUUAGUUGGUGCGGAUAGGUCUGGGUAAUCGCAGAU